rnacentral:rRNA from 1 species
AGCGUAGACGGUGUGGCAAGUCUGAUGUGAAAAGGCAUGGGCUCAACCUGUGGACUGCAUUGGAAACUGUCAUACUUGAGUGCCGGAGGGGUAAGCGGAAUUCCUAGUGUAGCGGUGAAAUGCGUAGAUAUUAGGAGGAACACCAGUGGCGAAGGCGGCUUACUGGACGGUAACUGACGUUGAGGCUCGAAAGCGUGGGAGCAAACA